AAUGAAUUGGUGCAGAGGUUAGCAUGUCAGUCUAUGACGUUGAACACCUGGGUUCAAAUCCCGGCAUUA
rnacentral:tRNA from 1 species